AUACGGAGGGUGCAAGCGUUGUUCGGAAUUAUUGGGCGUAAAGAGCAUGUAGGCGGACUGUUAAGUUUGGUGUGAAAGCCCGGGGCUCAACCCCGGAAGUGCAUUGGAUACUGGCAGUCUUGAGUAUGGGAGAGGAAAGUGGAAUUCCGAGUGUAGGAGUGAAAUCCGUAGAUAUUCGGAGGAACACCAGUGGCGAAGGCGGCUUUCUGGACCAAUACUGACGCUGUGAUGCGAAAGCGUGGGGAGCGAACAGGAUUAGAAACCCUAGUAGUCC
rnacentral:rRNA from 1 species